GGGGGAUAUUGCACAAUGGAGGAAACUCUGAUGCAGCAACGCCGCGUGAGGGAAGAAGGUCUUCGGAUUGUAAACCUUUGUCCUUGGUGACGAAACAAAUGACGGUAGCCAAGGAGGAAGCUCCGGCUAACUACGUGCCAGCAGCCGCGGUAAUACGUAGGGAGCAAGCGUUGUCCGGAUUUACUGGGUGUAAAGGGUGCGUAGGCGGCUCUGCAAGUCAGGCGUGAAAACUAUGGGCUUAACCCAUAGACUGCGUUUGAAACUGUGGGGCUUGAGUGAAGUAGAGGUAGGCGGAAUUCCCGGUGUAGCGGUGAAAUGCGUAGAGAUCGGGAGGAACACCAGUGGCGAAGGCGGCUUACUGGACGGUAACUGACGCUGAGGCGCGAAAGCGUGGGGAGCAAAC
rnacentral:rRNA from 1 species